UACAGAGGUGGCAAGCGUUGUUCGGAAUUACUGGGCGUAAAGGGCGCGUAGGCGGUUCGAUAAGUCCGUGUGAAGCCCCGGCUCAACUGGGGAACUGCACGGGAAACUGACGGACUUGAGUUCGGGAGAGGGAGCGGAAUUCCGGGUGUAGCGGUGAAAUGCGGUAGAUAUCCGGAGGAACACCGGUGGCGAAGGCGGCUUCCUGGACCGGUAUUGACGCUGAGGCGCGAAAGCCAGGGAGCAAACGGG
rnacentral:rRNA from 1 species